GAGCAAGGCAAACCACUGCCAGAGCCUCCUCAUACUGUCUCUGGGUUCAUAUUCAUGUUCUUUCCAAGCAUCAUGUGUCCUCUCACCUGUAUCAGCUUCACAAAACAGUUAUGAUGUAAUCGAGUCUCCAGAAAUUUCCAGUUCAAGAGGGAUUUUCUCUUUGGGCUUGGAGGAACCCAGGCACAGCAUGCUGAUCUGGUGAUCUCUGUCUGAGCAAGCUUUCCAGUGCUUGCUUUCUCAUAUCCCCGACGUCUAAACAGGAGAGGGGGCAGCCAGACCUGCUGUACAGACUGCUUGCACUGCAGCCUGCCUGAGACUGGGACAUAGAUGGCUCCGAAGUGCAGAUGCUGCAGGUCCUUCUACAGUUAACUCCUCCCUGCAAAAAAAAAAAAAAGUUGGCGAGUGCUGCAGUGUCCUGAAUCGAACACCAGAGGGAGGCAAAGGCACAAGAAGUUCCAGUUCAGAAGGAUCCUGUUGCAGCGUCGUUCUUCCUGGCCAGUCG